AGCAGUGUGGUGUAGUGGUAAGGAGCCUGGCUUAUAACCAAAAGGUUGCUGGUUCAAUUCCCCACUGGGA